rnacentral:rRNA from 1 species
CCUACGGGAGGCAGCAGUGGGGAAUAUUGCACAAUGGGGGAAACCCUGAUGCAGCGACGCCGCGUGAGUGAAGAAGUAUUUCGGUACGUAAAGCUCUAUCAGCAGGGAAAAAAAUGACGGUACCUGACUAAGAAGCCCCGGCUAACUACGUGCCAGCAGCCGCGGUAAUACGUAGGGGGUAAGCGUUAUCCGGAUUUACUGGGUGUAAAGGGAGCGUAGACGGCAGCGCAAGUCUGGAGUGAAAUCCCAUGGCUUAACCAUGGAACUGCUUUGGAAACUGUGCAGCUAGAGUGCAGGAGAGGUAAGCGGAAUUCCUAGUGUAGCGGUGAAAUGCGUAGAUAUUAGGAGGAACACCAGUGGCGAAGGCGGCUUACUGGACUGUAACUGACGUUGAGGCUCGAAAGCGUGGGGAGCAAACAGGAUUAGAUACCCGGGUAGUC